AGAAAGUGGCCCGUGUGGGGGAGAAGAGCAGCUCCAGGAGUGGCUGGUUCACUUCGACACCCCUCAGCGGGGCCUGAGGGUCCCCAGGCCUUGGGCCGGCCAGGCUGCAGGCCCAGCCGUGCUAGUGAGUCCCCCUCUCACGGUGGCUGUUUUUGGCGUCCCUGUGCUGCUAAUAGGCAUCUAUCUCUCUCACAUAUUAUCUGCACCUUCAGGGAAUCGCCUUAAAUUUCGACUUGCAGAAAGAACUUAAACAGAACGAGAGCUUCGGUUUGGAGAAAGAAGAUUCCAGCCUCCGAAGACAUGUUCUACCCUCCUCCCCCAUCCUGUCACUAUGGAGAGUCACACGGUCUCAUUCUCAAAAGUGACGUCAAUCCCGCGUUCCUGGAUAAACUCCAUUUGUUCACAGUGAGAUCCUUUCCUCCGUUUUGUUGAGUUUGGCGAUGCUUAGUCUUGGGAAGAGUGUCCGCAUCUAUAUUCAUGAGGGAUAUUACUGUGCCGUGCUCUGCAGUAGCACUUCCUGGUUUGGGUACCAGGGGAAUCUGGCCUCCGAGACUGAGAUGGGAAGUUUUCCCUCCUCCUCUCUCUUCAGGAUUUAAAAAAAAAAAAUAAAUAAUUUUUUUUUCCUUUA